rnacentral:misc_RNA from 1 species
UGGUUAUGUAUUUGUUAAAUAAUUAGUGAUUGAUUAAUUAUUUUUUUAGCUGCGUAAUUUUUUAGCCUGUGGUGUUAUUUAUUAAGAUAAUUAUUGUAUAUUUAAUUUUUGUCGUGUACAAUGGAUGGCCAAAUAGAUAUGGGUAUCAUUCUUGGGAGAGAAAUAGAAGCAGAGCUACAAAGGUAAGUACUACAGUUUUAAGGAGAACAACUACAUGAAUAAUCUACAAUAAUUGUUUUCAUUUUUUAGACAGCUUUUUAAGUUAGAAAGACGAGUUCUUAGGGAUACAAGUAAUCCAUUUGAAAUUCCUGACGAACUUUUUAAAGGUUUAUAUAGGCUUCCAAAACAGAUAGCCAAUAACUUAAUUCAUGAAUUAGAACCAUUCUUAAUGGAUCCACUCAGAAUUACCUCAAUUCCAAUUCAUUUGAAAGUCCUGUGUGCAUUACAUUUUUAUGCACAUGGAAGUUAUCAAAAAAGCGUUGGGCAAGAUUUUUUACUAGGAAUGAGUCAGUCAGUGGUCAGUCGUUGUAUUGGAGAAAUUAGUAGGGUACUAUCGACACAUCUUAGUAGAAGAUAUAUUAUAUUCCCCACAACCAUAGUGGCAAAGAUGUCAGUAGCUCGUGGUUUUAUGGAAAAGUUUACUUUCCCAGGUGUAGUGGGUUGUAUAGAUGGUACUCAUAUAGCCAUCAUUUCACCACCCAUUGAUCAUCCACAAAAUCCAGGUUUUGUAUACCUAAACAGGAAAGGAUAUCAUAGUAUCAACUGUCAGAUUAUAUGUGAUUCGAAUUUAAAAAUAAUCAAUUGUAAUGCUAGAUACCCAGGAUCCAUGCAUGAUGCAGCAAUUUGGAAUAUGUCGAAUGCAAGCAUACAUAUGGAGGAAACCUACAAUAAUAAUGAACGAGGAUUUUGGUUGUUAGGUGAUUCUGGGUAUCCAUUACAACCAUGGCUAUUGACACCAGUAGUAGGGGCACAAGAAGGUACCCCAUAAGGUCGAUACACAUCUGCCCAUAUACAUGUCAGGAACACAAUUGAACGCUGUCAUGGUGUUUUAAAAGCACGUUUCCGCUGCCUUUUAAAGCACCGAGUACUACAUUACUGUCCAGUUACAGCGGCAGCUAUUAUAAAUUCCUGUUGUGUUUUACACAAUAUCCUUAUUGCCCAUAAUAUAGAAGUGGAAGACGAAGACAACUACGAAGACUUAAACAGAGUUGAGGGAAAUCCUGCAGAAAAUAAUGAUGAACCUCCAAAUGCAAAUUUGCUAGGUAUAGGUCGUCGAAUAAGAAACCAACUAAUAAGAAAUUAUUUUAAUUAAAUUAUAUUUGUACACUAAGUAAUCUGUUAUAAUA